UACGAAGGGUGCAAGCGUUAAUCGGAAUUACUGGGCGUAAAGCGUGCGUAGGCGGUUUGUUAAGUCUGUUGUGAAAUCCCCGGGCUCAACCUGGGAAUGGCAAUGGAUACUGGCAAGCUAGAGUGUGUCAGAGGAUGGUGGAAUUCCCGGUGUAGCGGUGAAAUGCGCAGAUAUCGGGAAGAACACCCGUGGCGAAGGCGGCUCUCUGGGACGGUACUGACGCUGAGACGCGAAAGCGUGGGGAGCGAACAGG
rnacentral:rRNA from 1 species